rnacentral:rRNA from 1 species
AGUGAACGCUGGCGGUAGGCCUAACACAUGCAAGUCGAACGGCAGCACAGUAAGAGCUUGCUCUUACGGGUGGCGAGUGGCGGACGGGUGAGGAAUACAUCGGAAUCUACUUUUUCGUGGGGGAUAACGUAGGGAAACUUACGCUAAUACCGCAUACGACCUACGGGUGAAAGCAGGGGAUCUUCGGACCUUGCGCGAUUGAAUGAGCCGAUGUCGGAUUAGCUAGUUGGCGGGGUAAAGGCCCACCAAGGCGACGAUCCGUAGCUGGUCUGAGAGGAUGAUCAGCCACACUGGAACUGAGACACGGUCCAGACUCCUACGGGAGGCAUCAGUGGGGAAUAUUGGACAAAGGGGGCAAGCCUGAUCCAGCCAUACCGCGUGGGUGAAGAAGGCCUUCGGGUUGUAAAGCCCUUUUGUUGGGAAAGAAAAGCAGCAGGUUAAUACCCCGCUGUUCUGACGGUACCCAAAGAAUAAGCACCGGCUAACUUCGUG